GGGGAUGAUCGGUUUCGACGUGUGUUUACUUGGCAGGGGAAGCGGGCCAAGGACGCUGGGUUAUCUUGUCAACGCCCCCAGCAGCAAAUAGGUGCCAAUUCCAAGCGCACCGACUUCGCCCUCGCUGCCUAAGCGAGCCCCGAAGUCCGUCAGCCUAGGCUUGUUCUCGGCCUAGUUCCUGGCGUCAUCUAGAGAACUUGCUGGUCGCCGGCGUCACGGCGACGAUCGGGACUUCACACCGUGACUGGGCCUAUCUUCCAACUCGCCUGAAAGCGGGAAGGGGCCGAGAAACACUUCUUCAGGCUGCGCCCGGAGAAGACCUGCCUUUGGACAUGCGGACGCGGGUUCGAUUCCCGCCAUCUCCACUC
rnacentral:tmRNA from 1 species